rnacentral:rRNA from 1 species
AUUGAACGCUGGCGGCAUGCCUUACACAUGCAAGUCGAACGGUAACAGGUCUUCGGAUGCUGACGAGUGGCGAACGGGUGAGUAAUACAUCGGAACGUGCCCGAUCGUGGGGGAUAACGGAGCGAAAGCUUUGCUAAUACCGCAUACGAUCUACGGAUGAAAGCAGGGGACCGCAAGGCCUUGCGCGGACGGAGCGGCCGAUGGCAGAUUAGGUAGUUGGUGGGAUAAAAGCUUACCAAGCCGACGAUCUGUAGCUGGUCUGAGAGGACGACCAGCCACACUGGGACUGAGAUACGGCCCAGACUCCUACGGGAGGCAGCAGUGGGGAAUUUUGGACAAUGGGCGAAAGCCUGAUCCAGCCAUGCCGCGUGCAGGAUGAAGGCCUUCGGGUUGUAAACUGCUUUUGUACGGAACGAAAAGACUCUUUCUAAUAAAGAGGGUCCAUGACGGUACCGUAAGAAUAAGCACCGGCUAACUACGUG